ACCGUCACAGCUGAGACGUCCUGCAGCAGCUGGAUGAGAGUCUGCCACGAGUCGGGCAGAACGCAGGAGAGAACUGAGAACACAGAGAGCUCUCUCCUCAUCUCCUCCUGCUGGAUCCAAGACUCUCCCAGACCUGAGAGGGUACAGACUCCCUCCACACUCAAGUCUAAAGUUCCACUCUGUGGGGUUCAAUAAAUCCAGGCCCUGAUCGGCAGUAAGAAACAACUUGGAGAAAUCCGGUUACCUCCUUUCCGAGCCUCCUGGAAACAAACGAAUGGAUCGACUCGUCGUCCUCUUUUCCCUUCUUGACCAGAAUCUCAGGAGCCAAGCUGAACAGGAGGGGGCGGGAAAAAGGCGGGACUGUUCGAAAAAUCCCACUAAUAACAAAAACGUAAAGACAGGUAAUUCAUGUCGACGUCAGGAAUAAUUUCUGUUUUAAACAAAGUGGGAUGAUUCAUUUUUUAAUAAAAAUCAUUUUUGAUACACAUAAACUUGUUUCUAUCAGUCAAGAAUAAUAGUUUUAGAAAUGAUGUUUUUUGAAAACUUUGUCAGUUUAUUAAUUAUUCCUGUCCUGGUUCUAUAAACGUGCUCAAAUAGGACAGAUCUCAGGGAGCAGACUCUACAAACUGGUUUUAGUUUAGUUCUCCUGUUUGUACUUCAAGCUGUUUUCAUCAUCCAGGUGUUAACAUGUUCUGGACUUUACAGAUGUGGUGCUGAGAGCUGGUGUGGUAGUAGCUGAGAGUCAGUCGCCAUCUUUAAUGCAAGGACUUUUAAAAUAAAUCUCUAUUUCUUUCUUUCUUCAA